AGCUUUGGAAUUAAAAACGUAACAAGGUUUCCGUAGGUGAACCUGCGGAAGGAUCAUUAUCGAGUUUUGACCGGGUUGUAGCUGGCCUUCUGAGGCAUGUGCACGCCCUGUUCAUCCACUCUACACCUGUGCACUUACUGUGGGCUUCAGAUUGCGAGGCACGCUCUUUACCGGGCUUGCGGAGCAUAUCUGUGCCUGCGUUUAUCACAAACUCUAUAAAGUAACAGAAUGUGUAUUGCGAUGUAACACAUCUAUAUACAACUUUCAGCAACGGAUCUCUUGGCUCUCGCAUCGAUGAAGAACGCAGCGAAAUGCGAUAAGUAAUGUGAAUUGCAGAAUUCAGUGAAUCAUUGAAUCUUUGAACGCACCUUGCGCUCCUUGGUAUUCCGAGGAGCAUGCCUGUUUGAGUGUCAUGAAAUCUUCAACCUACAAGCUUUUGUGGUUUGUAGGCUUGGACUUGGAGGCUUGUCGGCCGUUAUCGGUCGGCUCCUAUUAAAUGCAUUAGCUUGGUUCCUUGCGGAUCGGCUCUCGGUGUGAUAAUGUCUACGCCGUGACCGUGAAGCGUUUGGCGAGCUUCUAACCGUCUUAUAAGACAGCUUUAUGACCUCUGACCUCAAAUCAGGUAGAUGCCAUCC
rnacentral:rRNA from 1 species